AUUCCAUGAUGAGGGCACUUUCGUAGUAAUUCUUUGUACCUUUCUCAUGCCUCAUAUAAGGACUCGUGAUCUAUUUGUUGGAAAAUAUUAAUUUCAUUCCACAAGCAU
rnacentral:snoRNA from 1 species